rnacentral:rRNA from 1 species
GAUGAACGCUAGCGGCAGGCCUAAUACAUGCAAGUCGAACGGGAUUGCGGUAGUAGCUUGCUACUACUGCAUGAGAGUGGCGCACGGGUGCGUAACGCGUGAGCAACCUACCCAUAUCAGGGGGAUAGCCCGGCGAAAGUCGGAUUAACACCGCAUAACAUCAACAGUUCGCAUGUUCAGUUGAUUAAAUAUUUAUAGGAUAUGGAUGGGCUCGCGUGACAUUAGCUAGUUGGUAGGGUAACGGCUUACCAAGGCAACGAUGUCUAGGGGCUCUGAGAGGAGAAUCCCCCACACUGGUACUGAGACACGGACCAGACUCCUACGGGAGGCAGCAGUAAGGAAUAGUGGUCAAUGGGCGCAAGCCUGAACCAGCCAUGCCGCGUGCAGGAGGACUGCCCUAUGGGUUGUAAACUGCUUUUAUCAGGGAAUAAACCCCUUUACGAGUAGAGGGUUGAAUGUACCUGAAGAAUAAGGAUCGGCUAACUCCGU